GAGAAAAUGUAGUAGACUAUGAGUAUACGUGAAUCUCUGAAAGUAUACUAAGUAUACUACGUUUACUUGAGAG
ensembl:miRNA